GUCUCCUCCUCCCUUCCCUCCCCUCCCCUCUGGUCAUCCCCUCCCCAUCUCUUCCUUCUUCCUCCACGGGCCCCCUCCUCUCCUCCUGUCCCGCGCAGCGCAUGGAUCCCGUCCCUGCCUCUCCUCCCGUGCUGCGCGGGAUGCGGACGUGACGGCGCGCGGCGCUGCGAAGCGUGGCGGCGGUGGGGAGCAGCGGCCGGCCGCGUGCAGUGCUGCGCGGAGUGGUGGCGAGGAGCGGUGCGGCGCUGCACGGUGCGUCGCGGCUCAGCGCAGCGGCGGCGGCGAGCAGCGGCCGGCCGCGUGCGGCGCGUUGCGGAGCGGGAGCUAGGAGCGGCGCGCCGUCCCGGUGCAGAGGCACGCCCCUGCCCUGAGCCGUCCCGAUGGUCAAUCACCAGCGGUUCCCAGUGGGCAGUUUCGCAUUGGCCAUGGCUCACGCACACCACUUUUUCUCUUCCCCUGCUGGCACCGCAAUAGCAGCCUUUGUUGCAGUCCUAUGGUGAGCAUCCUCCUCCUCCCAAUCUCCUUCGCUCCCUGUCCAUCCUCCUAUCCCCAUCCGUUUCUAGGAUUUGGGUUUCAGAUCUUUGUUGUCACAGAUCUACUCAAGCCUGCUUCUUCUUUUGCUGCAAGGUGUUAGAUCUGAUGAUGGAAAUAGGAUUUAAUUUGGGAAGGGAAGAAAUCGGUGGAUGAUUGAUUCAAGUUCUUUAGCACUUGUUUUUAGACCAGAGCAGGUGAGAUGCUGAUGACCAGAGCAGGUGCCAUGCCUUUCUACUAAAAUGGUUAUGUUUGUCAUGAUAAUUCUUGAUCUGCUACCUUAUUUAAUUCUACUAUGUUUUAUCAAACUUUUUCUAAAGUCAAGUGGUUAUUUAUUUUCUAAUGAAACAGAUUUCCAAACCUUUUUGUGUAAUCUGUGAAAAUUUACCAGUAAUGUUUAAAUAUAUGAGAUCACUCUCAUAUGUAAGAUCUGUUACAAAACCUCUGUAAAUCUGUCCUUGUUACAAAUAAGCAAAAAGAAUCAUAAAUGCACUAUCUAAUCUUAAUGAUAUGUUUGGACCAUAUUGCAUCAAGUCAUGUUUGGACCAUAUAAAUGAUUUUUGCUCUGUGCACUGGUAGUAAUGGCGAGAGGGCGUUGAUGCAUACAGCGCCUACUAGAAUAAGCUUUCUUGUUCCUAGAUCAGUGAUAUAUGGCCUCUUGUGGGCUCUGGCAGGUGUACCAGCAUGCGAGGAUCACACUUGGUUACCUCUUAGCCUAUUCAUUAUAGGUGCCAAUCUUAGUUUCAGUUGGGAAAAAUGGCAUAGCAUUAGUAAUUGGAUAUCACAAAAGCCUUGCUGAAAGAUAAUUAUUUACUUUCUAAUAUUUGCAUGUUCUGCUGUGUUGAUUUACUCUUCUGCUCAUAAUCAUGUUUCAUUUGCUUUGAGUAGAUGUAUGUAGUUUUGAAUGAAAAUAGAUAUCUGAACAACAAGAGGAAGAUGUGAGCAGUGUAUCUGAAGUGCUAUUAAUUAAAAAGGAAAAAACAUUCUUUCUCUUGAGUCACUAUAAAUGGUGAGCUUUUUAUCUUGGUCCUAUCUUAAAUAUGUCUUGUUUCAAAGGCUGUAAACA